rnacentral:rRNA from 1 species
AACGAACGUUGGCGGCGUGGAUUAGGCAUGCAAGUCGUGCGUAAAGAGUAGCAAUACUCGGAAGCGGCGUAAGGGAGAGUAAUACAUAGGUAUUUACCCUGGGGUCUGGGAUAGCGGCGGGAAACUGCCGGUAAUACCAGAUGAUAUCUCCGGAUCAAAGGUGUGAUUCCGCCCUAGGAGAAGCCUGUGGUCUAUUAGCUAGUUGGCAGGGUAACGGCCUACCAAGGCAAAGAUGGAUAUGGGGCGUGAGAGCGUGCCCCCACUCACUGGGACUGAGACACUGCCCAGACACCUACGGGUGGCUGCAGUCGAGAAUCUUCGGCAAUGGGCGCAAGCCUGACCGAGCGACGCCGCGUGCGGGAUGAAGGCCUUCGGGUUGUAAACCGCUGUCGAAGGGGAGGAAAUUGUAGUGGGUUCACCCAUUAUAUUGACCGAUCCUUGGAGGAAGGGCCGGCUAAUCUCGUGCCAGCCGCCGCUGUAAGAC